rnacentral:rRNA from 1 species
GAUGAACGCUAGCUACAGGCUUAACACAUGCAAGUCGAGGGGUAACGAGAGGAAAGCUUGCUUUCCUUGUCGACGACCGGCGCACGGGUGAGUAACGCGUAUCCAACCUGCCCCCAACUAGGGAAUAACCUUGCGAAAGUAAGACUAAUACCCUAUAAUUUCCUCAGAUGUCAUCUGACGAGGAAUAAAGAUUUAUCGGUUGUGGAUGGGGAUGCGUCUGAUUAGCUUGUUGGCGGGGUAACGGCCCACCAAGGCAACGAUCAGUAGGGGUUCUGAGAGGAAGGACCCCCACAUUGGAACUGAGACACGGUCCAAACUCCUACGGGAGGCAGCAGUGAGGAAUAUUGGUCAAUGGGCGGAAGCCUGAACCAGCCAAGUAGCGUGCAGGAUGACGGCCCUAUGGGUUGUAAACUGCCUUUAUACAGGAAUAAAGUUAGCCACGUGUGGUUAUUUGUAGGUACUGUAUGAAUAAGGACCGGCUAAUUCCGUGCCAGCCGCCGCGGUAA